UACGUAGGGGGCAAGCGUUGUCCGGAAUCAUUGGGCGUAAAGAGCGUGUAGGCGGCCUGAUAAGUCGGCUGUGAAAGUCAAGGGCUCAACCCUGGGAUGCCGGUGGAUACUGUCGGGCUCGAGUCCGGAAGAGGCGAGUGGAAUUCCUGGUGUAGCGGUGAAAUGCGCAGAUAUCAGGAGGAACACCAAUGGCGAAGGCAGCUCGCUGGGACGUGACUGACGCUGAGACGCGAAAGCGUGGGGAGCAAACAGG
rnacentral:rRNA from 1 species